rnacentral:rRNA from 1 species
AGAGUUUGAUCCUGGCUCAGGAUGAACGCUGGCGGCGUGCCUAAUACAUGCAAGUCGAGCGAACGGACGAGAAGCUUGCUUCUCUGAUGUUAGCGGCGGACGGGUGAGUAACACGUGGAUAACCUACCUAUAAGACUGGGAUAACUUCGGGAAACCGGAGCUAAUACCGGAUAAUAUUUUGAACCGCAUGGUUCAAAAGUGAAAGACGGUCUUGCUGUCACUUAUAGAUGGAUCCGCGCUGCAUUAGCUAGUUGGUAAGGUAACGGCUUACCAAGGCAACGAUGCAUAGCCGACCUGAGAGGGUGAUCGGCCACACUGGAACUGAGACACGGUCCAGACUCCU